rnacentral:rRNA from 1 species
GAUGAACGCUGGCGGCGUGCCUAAUACAUGCCAGUCGAGCGAACAGACGAGGAGCUUGCUCCUCUGACGUUAGCGGCGGACGGGUGAGUAACACGUGGAUAACCUACCUAUAAGACUGGGAUAACUUCGGGAAACCGGAGCUAAUACCGGAUAAUAUAUUGAACCGCAUGGUUCAAUAGUGAAAGACGGUUUUGCUGUCACUUAUAGAUGGAUCCGCGCCGCAUUAGCUAGUUGGUAAGGUAACGGCUUACCAAGGCAACGAUGCGUAGCCGACCUGAGAGGGGGAUCGGCCACACGGGAACUGAGACACGGUCCAGACUCCUACGGGAGGCAGCAGUAGGGAAUAUUCCGCAAUGGGCGAAAGCUUGACGGAGCAACGCCGCGUGAGUGAUGAAGGUCUUCGGAUCGUAAAACUCUGUUAUUAGGGAAGAACAAAUGUGUAAGUAACUAUGCACGUCUUGACGGUACCUAAUCAGAAAGCCACGGCUAACUACGUG